AAUAGAUUACCCCGGUAGUCCACGCCGUAAACGAUGAGAACUAGAUGUUGGUUGGGGAACCAAUCAGUAUCGAAGCUAACGCGAUAAGUUCUCCGCCUGGGAAGUACGGCCGCAAGGUUGAAACUCAAAUGAAUUGACGGGGGCCCGCACAAGCGGUGGAGCAUGUGGUUUAAUUCGAUGCAACGCGAAGAACCUUACCUACCCUUGACAUCCUGCGAAUUCUGAAGAGAUUUGGAAGUGCCGAAAGGAGCGCAGAGACAGGUGCUGCAUGGCUGUCGUCAGCUCGUGUUGUGAGAUGUUGGGUUAAGUCCCGUAACGAGCGCAACCCUUGUCCUUAGUUACCAGCAAGUAAAGUUGGGGGCUCUAAGGAGACUGCCGGUGAUGAACCGGAGGAAGGCGGGGACGACGUCAAGUCAUCAUGGCCUUUAUGGGUAGGGCUACACACGUGCUACAAUGGGGCGUACAGAGGGUCGCCAACCCGCGAGGGGGAGCCAAUCUCUUAAAGCGUCUCGUAGCCCGGAUUGGAGUCUGCAACUCGACUCC
rnacentral:rRNA from 1 species